GUCUGCCAUUUUAUCUUUUCAUAUUCGCAACGUCGAGGUCUGACAUUAAACAGCAAACAUUGCACUCUAUUUUGUCCAUUUUUGACAUCAUAAAAAGGAUAAAAAGCUCUUGUGAUCCACAUCUACAGUCACAGAUUGGCUGCUUUCCUGUUCUCAUCUCUUCAAGACCAUCAAGAUCAUGAUGCAGAAUAAAAUAUCGUCCUGUGGCAACAAUAAAACUUUUCAUGGCACUGACAAUUGCGCUCAGCUUGCUGACUUAAAUUUUAAUUUUAUCAGUCAUCGUUUCAUCUCAAUCGCAAUAUGCUAUAAGGAACUACUCUCACCGGCUUUCAUCGAAACUCUUGCAGCAAAUGGCUUUUACUGCGCAAUCGAGGGUGGACAUAUAUCAUUGCGCUGUGCUUCUUGCAAAGUGCAUGUCACUGAAGAGGAAUUUUCGAGCUAUUUGGACGAAGGUUCUGCUCUAGAGAAAAUUCUUGGAUUGCCAGAAAAGGCCUGUUGCAAAAACGGGGCUUUAGGCUCACAAAAUUCGACGAUGUGGAAUGCACUGAACUACCGGUUUGAGGCUCAUCGUCUCUAUUCUCUGCUGCAAAAGAAUGACUGGCAGUACGUUAAUCCGUUCAGUUUGGCAAGUAUUGGAUUUUACUACACCGGAGACGGAGACAACGUCAGAUGUGCAUUCUGCA